AGGAGGCUAGAGGCAGUUCCUUGCCAGUUGCUAAAGAGGAAGGAGCUUCCUCACAGAAGGGAUGGUGUAUUUCCUGUUCCAGUAACAAAAGCAGACAUCUCUUGAACUCCAUUUCUACAGCAGUUCAGGGCUCAAGUACAGAACGUGCCUAAUUCCAUAUUCAUUUCUUUUGGUGGAACCUGGUCACAAAGAUACAUCCCUCAACACUUCAGGAAUUUAAACAAAGAUUGUAAGUGCCGAACUUACUUCUGAAAGCAGUGGGCAGCAGUGAGAAUCCAGCUUUUGUGAAUGAGAGUUCCACCACAGACAUGAACAAAUCUUUUGCUUGUUCUUGUUUGAACCUAGAUCAUAAAAAUAUAAAGAAGAUAAUGGAAGCUACAUAAAUAUGAGAUUUCGUUUUUAGAUGUAUGAGGGGCAGAAAAGUUAGUGACAAUGUGAUGAUUGAUGCCCUCUACUGUGCAGUUUGUGUUAGUAGCAGUUGCAUGGAGUGGGAGAAGAAAGUCCAUUUGCUCCUGCAUUCUUGUAAAAUGCAACUAAAAUAGUCACUUUUAAAGACAUAUGGGUCAGCUAACAAAUAUGAUUUGAGAAAUGGGUGUCACAGGUGUGCCUACUCCUUUAAGGGCAGAAACUGCCUAGAGAGGGCCCUACGAGCCAGGUAGAACCCCCACAGGUGCAG